CGCGUACCGUCGGAGUCGGGCAUCGCCUCGUGUGGUGGCUACGGGCGGCGCUGGGUUUCCUCGGCGUCGUGGUGAGCAGGGGCAGCCCCGGCUGCCGUGGGCGUAGCACGCAGAGGUGGAUCCACUGACCGCACUCGGACUCCACCUGCUUACACCACAGAACGUUCUGCCCUGGCUACAACAACGAUCGAGGAAGAGCGGCGUUGCAACGUUUUAGAUUUACUACAGGCAAUUACUGCUUGGAUUGAUUUUUUGCUGAAUUUGUUCGGAGCAAAAAGCAUUCUGGCUGCAACAUGUACGGCGGCGACUGUGUGAGCGGCGGGCGGAUUCAUAGGCGAGCGGCUGGUGGGCUCUGCGCCCACCGUGUCCUCGGCAGAGCAUCGUGGUCAGCGGGUGGAAUAAGCGGCGCCGUGGUCGGCGGGUGGAAUCAGCGGCGCUGUGGUCGGCGGGCUAAACAGGUUGCGGUGUGGUCGCUGGUGGUAAUGCAACGUGGUGAGCCGCGUGUCGCAGGAGGCCGGUGGCUGCGGGCGGCAUUGGCAUCCAAGUGGCAUCGCCGCGUCAUGCAGAUUGCUCGCUUCUUCAGCAAAGGUGGCCGACGCCAAGUUUUUUCAACCAUCCGUGCAGCAGCUGUCGCUGGAGACAUUCUACUAUUAUUACAACAUUUGGAGGAUAUUUUGAACGUUGAUUGGAUGGGAAUAAAGUAACGAGACGUCGUGCAAUGGAAAUAAAGUCAUAAUAUAAUUCUUCACACAGAUUAGUGCGAUACCCAUUUUAUGGGCAACAUUGGUGCAAUGCCGUAUCUAUUUUACAUGCCUUUUGGUGCAUGCAAUGGAGUUCUUUACAUCAUGUAUUAGUGAACCUCACAACAUGUCAUAUAUUGGACCAUUUUCCUGUAA